rnacentral:rRNA from 1 species
CCUACGGGUGGCAGCAGUGGGGAAUAUUGGGCAAUGGGCGCAAGCCUGACCCAGCAACGCCGCGUGAAGGAAGAAGGCUUUCGGGUUGUAAACCUCUUUUUUCAGGGACGAAGAAAGUGACGGUACCUGAGGAUUAAGUCUCGGCUAACUACGUGCCAGCAGCCGCGGUAAUACGUAGGGGGCAAGCGUUAUCCGGAUUUAUUGGGUGUAAAGGGCGUGUAGGCGGAAGGGCAAGUCAGAUGUGAAAUCUCAGGGCUCAACCCUGGGCCUGCAUUGGAAACUGGGGUUCUUGAGUGCUGGGGAGGCAAGCGGAAUUCGGCGUGUAGCGGUGAAAUGCGUAGAUAUACGGAGGAACACCAGUGGCGAAGGCAGAUUGCUGGACAGUAACUGACGCUGAGGCGCGAAAGCGUGGGGAGCAAACAGGAUUAGAUACCCGUGUAGUC